UGAAUCAAUGAAAUGGGUGUAUGUAAGCUGGCCAGAUCUGUUGCCAUUUUUCAAAUUCAAAAAACUCACAGCAGUGGACAAUCUAGAUGCCAGAGUCAUUUCCAGGUUCCCCUUCAUGCCUAAAACAGCCGGAACCAGAAUGAAGAGCUCAGUGAUCUCCUGGAACACAUCCCAGCUCUGCCACAAAAACACAGAAAACAGCUUAAUCUGAGCAGAGAUUCCAGCCACCAACUGAGAGGGACAAUGUCAUGAGGUGUUUAUUAAAUAAAGACUGAAAACUUACAGGAGGCACAAGAGAAACACGAGAAAACACAAGGACAAGGAACACUGGAGAAUCACAGGCACAACUACAGGGAGAGUCACAGGAAAUAUGGACAUGUAAACAGGGCGUUUAAUGGGAGGAUCUGAUGGAGAACAAUGGCUAACAGAGAUUUAAGUACUGUGGGAGAAAUAAAGAAUCGCAGAGGAUGCUGGUGUGUUAAUCAGAGGCUGAUGAGGAGCAGCUGGCAGAAGAAACGUUCUUAAUGGCAUCCUUUGGAUUUCUAAGGGAUCACACAAGUUCAGGCUGCAGGUAGGGAAACAUUUGUGUUUUUCUUCACAGGUUAAGUUCCAAAAAAUGUGUAGGAUUUGGUUGUAAGUACAUCUUUGGUUGUAGGUCUCAUAAAAACAUGUUUUAUUGCACCUAAGCAAACUUUAAGAUUUAAGAUUUUGAAUUAGAGAGUUUUCUGUGGUUAUUAACAGGUUGAAUUUAACAAAAGUCAUGCCUUUCACUUUUACAAAUAAUUAAUCUACUAAAUCAACCUUUCACCUAAACUAUUUAACCACCUUUUCAUCCUAAUACAGGAAACAACUGAUGGACAUAAACAAUAUGUGGUGUCAUCAACUCUAAAGGAAGUUAGUAUAAAAGCGUUGUUUACUUGUUGUUUAAGAAAAAAGAUGUUAGACAAGAAAUGGUGAAACUGAUGGAUGUUCACUUUUACCUUAUUGUGAGACCUGUUGGGAGGUCUUUAAUCUUUAUAGACCAAAGGUUGUGUUACAAUUAUUCAAUUUGACCUCACUCAGAGCCCACACGAUUUUUUAGAAGUUCUUGGAUCAUGACCAAUCUCAACUUGUCUGACCAGGACUCGGACCUUUACAAAAGUUUCCACCCACCCCAUCACAGACUUUUCUCCCUGUUGCUUUCUGGUAAAACGUUCAGCAGCUGCACAUGCAGAACAACCAGAUUCAGCAAUAGCUUCAUCACAGACAUCAUAAGAUUGAUAAAUUCCCAAUAAUCCCUCCUCCCAUUCAUACACUAGUCACUUUACAUGGUCACUGUGAACUCUGUUACAACUCAUCCAGCUGCUACAGAUACUUGCAGUAUUCAUGUUGUCCUACAUAUACUUUUUUCUCAGUGACUUAAUUUUCUAAUAUAUUUCAUUAUCUGCUACAUCCCUUCCUGUUGUUGCAUAUGCUCAUAUUUAUACAGCUGUUGUCAAAAUAAGGUGAGAUCUUGUUGGAAUAAUUGUAUAUAGAUUUAUUUUAUAUAUUUCCUAUUAUUAACUUUACAUUUGACCUUUAUAACCAUUCAUGUUAUAUGUGUAAGUAAACAUGUGAGGAGUUGUUUGCAGGCAAGGAGGAAAAGUGGAAUCGGGAUGAUGCAGUCGCAGUUGAGGACAUCAUAAAGAUGAAGGCUGAUUGUGCUGAACAAAGAGUGCACAUAUCUUAAGAUUUAUGGAGACUGUGCCAGUGUGUUUGUACAAGAUAAUGGGGUACAUGAUCUAUGUUACGUUGCAACUGUUUGUUCCCCACCCUUUAAGAGCAGCAACGUUCAUGUUACUAGGGACCACCCUAAAGAUAAUAAAAAGAGGUGUCGGAGAGAUGUGUUUUUCAGAGCGGUAGGAGAUUUGUAACUGAAAGCACAUCUAUGUCCGUUCUCCUCGCAGCAACAUCCCAGCAGAAACCGUCCCGAGUCCGGCCAGGACAAACGGUACCAGAAUCUGCAGCACCAUGGAACAAAACGAUUCUGUGGGUCUAUUUGAACCUUCUGUAUCUUUUGCUCCCAUGGAUCUGCUGAAC